rnacentral:rRNA from 1 species
GCGCGAAAACUUUACAAUGCGGGAAACCGUGAUAAGGGAACUCCGAGUGUCCGUAAAUGCGGACUGUCCGUAUGUCUAAAAAGCAUGCGAAGAAAGGGCCGGGCAAGACCGGUGCCAGCCGCCGCGGUAAUACCGGCGGCUCGAGUGGUGGCCACUAUUAUUGGGCUUAAAGCGUUCGUAGCUGGAUUGUUAAGUCUCUUGGGAAAUCUACCGGCUUAACCGAUAGGCGUCCAAGGGAUACUGGCAAUCUAGGGACCGGGAGAGGUGAGGGGUACUUCAGGGGUAGGAGUGAAAUCCUGUAAUCCUUGGGGGACCACCUGUGGCGAAGGCGCCUCACCAGAACGGCUCCGACAGUGAGGGACGAAAGCUGGGGGAGCAAACCGG